rnacentral:rRNA from 1 species
CCUACGGGUGGCAGCAGUGGGGAAUAUUGCACAAUGGGGGAAACCCUGAUGCAGCGACGCCGCGUGAGCGAUGAAGUAUUUCGGUAUGUAAAGCUCUAUCAGCAGGGAAGAAAAUGACGGUACCUGACUAGAAGCCCCCGCCAAACUCCGAGCCGCCGCCGCGGGUAUAAGUAGGGGGCAAGCGUUAACCGGAUUUACCGGGUGUAAAGGGAGCGUAGACGGCGAUGCCAGUCAGAUGGUAAAGCCCGGGGCUCAACCCCGGGACUGCAUUUGGAACUGUAUAGCUGGAGUGUCGGAGAGGCAGGCGGAAUUCCUAGUGUAGCGGUGAAAUGCGUAGAUAUUAGGAGGAACACCAGUGGCGAAGGCGGCCUGCUGGACGAUGACUGACGUUGAGGCUCGAAAGCGUGGGGAGCAAACAGGAUUAGAUACCCGAGUAGUC